rnacentral:rRNA from 1 species
UGUCCGGUGCGCCCCCGGCAGCCUUUGAAAAUUCGGAGGACCGAGUACCGUCCACGCUCGAUCGUACUCAUAAUCGCAUCAGGUCUUCAAGGUGAACAACCUCUGGUUAAUAGAACAAUGUAAGCAGGGGAAGUCGGCAAAAUGAAGAAAUUCAACCAAGCGCAGGUAAACGACGGGAGUAACUAUGACUCUCUUAAGGUAGCCAAAUGCCUCGUCAUCUAAUUAGUGACCCGCACGAAU